rnacentral:rRNA from 1 species
GACGAACGCUGGCGGCGUGCCUAAUACAUGCAAGUAGGACGCAGUUGCGAACGGGUGAGUAACGCGUAGGUAACUGCCUAUUAGAGGGGGAUAACUAUUGGAAACGAUAGCUAAUACCGCAUACUAGUAGAUGGACCUGCGUUGUAUUAGCUAGUAGGUAGGGUAAUGGCCUACCUAGGCAAAGAUACAUAGCCGAGCGGAGAGGGUGGACGGCCAAACUGGGACUGGGACACGGGCCAUGCUCCUACGGGGGGCAACAGUAGGGAAUCAUCGGCAAUGGGGGGAACCCUGAACGAACAACGGCGGGGGAGUGGAGAAGGUUUUCGGAUCGGAAAGCUCUUUUGUGAAGGAAGCGGUACUUGACCAGAAAGGGACGGCUAACUACGUGCCAGCAGCCGCGGUAAUUC